UGGGGAAUAUUGCACAAUGGGCGCAAGCCUGAUGCAGCCAUGCCGCGUGUAUGAAGAAGGCCUUCGGGUUGUAAAGUACUUUCAGCGGGGAGGAAGGCGAUAAGGUUAAUAACCUUGUCGAUUGACGUUACCCGCAGAAGAAGCACCGGCUAACUCCGUGCCAGCAGCCGCGGUAAUACGGAGGGUGCAAGCGUUAAUCGGAAUUACUGGGCGUAAAGCGCACGCAGGCGGUCUGUCAAGUCGGAUGUGAAAUCCCCGGGCUCAACCUGGGAACUGCAUUCGAAACUGGCAGGCUAGAGUCUUGUAGAGGGGGGUAGAAUUCCAGGUGUAGCGGUGAAAUGCGUAGAGAUCUGGAGAAAUACCGGUGGCGAAGGCGGCCCCCUGGACAAAGACUGACGCUCAGGUGCGAAAGCGUGGGGAGCAAACA
rnacentral:rRNA from 1 species